rnacentral:rRNA from 1 species
ACACAUGCAAGUCGAACGAGAGAUGAGGAGCUUGCUCUUCAAAUCGAGUGGCGAACGGGUGAGUAACGCGUGAGGAACCUGCCUCAAAGAGGGGGACAACAGUUGGAAACGACUGCUAAUACCGCAUAAGCCCACGGCUCGGCAUCGAGCAGAGGGAAAAGGAGUAAUCCGCUUUGAGAUGGCCUCGCGUCCGAUUAGCUAGUUGGUGAGGUAACGGCCCACCAAGGCGACGAUCGGUAGCCGGACUGAGAGGUUGAACGGCCACAUUGGGACUGAGACACGGCCCAGACUCCUACGGGAGGCAGCAGUGGGGAAUAUUGCACAAUGGGGGAAACCCUGAUGCAGCGACGCCGCGUGGAGGAAGAAGGUCUUCGGAUUGUAAACUCCUGUUGUUGAGGAAGAUAAUGACGGUACUCAACAAGGAAGUGACGGCUAACUACGUGCCAGCAGCCGCGGUAAAACGUAGGUCACAAGCGUUGUCCGGAAUUACUGGGUGUAAAGGGAGCGCAGGCGGGAGAACAAGUUGGAAGUGAAAUCCAUGGGCUCAACCCAUGAACUGCUUUCAAAACUGUUUUUCUUGAGUAGUGCAGAGGUAGGCGGAAUUCCCGGUGUAGCGGUGGAAUGCGUAGAUAUCGGGAGGAACACCAGUGGCGAAGGCGGCCUACUGGGCACCAACUGACGCUGAGGCUCGAAAGUGUGGGUAGCAAACAGGAUUAGAUACCCUGGUAGUCCACACCGUAAACGAUGAUUACUAGGUGUUGGAGGAUUGACCCCUUCAGUGCCGCAGUUAACACAAUAAGUAAUCCACCUGGG